CUAUGCGUAGGUUGUCUCUCCAAUUCACAAUCUACUUUUUUUAGUUUUUAAUCAACAAAAAAGAAAUCCCGUUAUUAGUGUAAGAAAAAAAAACAUUAAUACAGCAAAAGGGAGGCGAGUAGUUGCAUCAUACUCACCUCGACUCAUCCCAAAUAAGUUGGCAGGAGACACCAAAUCAUGUACAAAAGAAAACAGAGGAAGCACAAUUGACAAAAGAUUUUCCACCAGAAACUCAACAAGAACUCAGUCUGGUCCAUUUGUGAUUUGCUGCAGGUGAUUAAUGAACUCGUUGAUGGAGAAAUCCUUGUGCUUGGAACUUGUCUUUACCCAACUGACCACUCUUAGCUUGACAAGUCCAUGAAUGGAGUCCCAACUAGGAUGGAUUUUCUCAAACAACAGCAAAUCUCUUGCCCUCCAAAUGGUCCAAAAAAUUGUAGAAGGGAUUGUCUCCCAGAUGUCUCUGAAUUUCAUUCUAACAUAUAUAAGUCCCUUGCCACCAAUGAAAUAGGUUCUGAAUAGAGCUUGGAGUCGCCCAUACAGUCCCCCACCAAUCGAUGGCUCCAGAUCCACAGACACCAUCUGACCAUAUUCAAUCAGUUUCGAAUAACUUAUCGUCGGCCACUAACGAACAUCUAUUAAUAAGUCCUAAUAAGUCCCAUGAGUAAGAAAUACACAGUGCAAUUAAUAAACAAAGACUCAACCAAUCCACCACAAUAUCCCAUCACCUCAUUCCAAGGUCUCCAUUACAAUUUAUCAACUGAAAAAUAUCAUUUCUAACUUAUUUAGUUCAGCUUGUGAAUUUAUAGUACUUCCAAAGUGAAAUAUAACCACACACACACACACACACACACAAAUAAAAAAGCAAUCCUAUAUACUCCUUAGAACCCUGUUCAAUCUUCUUCAGCAGAAAAUGAACAACAAUUCUUCAACUACUGUAUUUUGUGUACUCUCCAGAUGAAUUUGUGGAAUCUAAUCCAAGUGAUUCUCACAAAUAAAAACUUGUCAAUAUCUUGGAAAAUGAAUAGGGAUUAUUUUAUUUGUCUCCCAAAAUAGUUACAUCUGAAGUUUGUACUUUGUGGUUGGUUGAUUGUGCAGUUAUACUGUACAAGGCAAUCAUCUAUAAAUGUAAACCAUGUCCAUAUUAAUCCCAGCAUCAUCAUAAUAAUUAAAGUCUCUAUAUCAUCAAACUUUGUUGUUUAGUUUUUAAACAAUGGAGGUGCUUUUGUCAAACAGGCCAAUUGUUCAAUCCUUGCCUGAUAGCUAUGUACUCCCACCAGAUAGAAGACCUGGGAUGGUUAAUGUUCCUAUUGGCAAAGACAUUCCAGUCAUUGAUUUUCAAACCAUUGCCGAUCCUGAUGAUCGCAUUGAGGUUGUUCAGCAAAUCUUAAAAGCAUGCCAGGAAUUCGGAUUGUUUCAGUACUUAGGUCAUUGCCAAAAAGUAAGGAGACAAAAGUCAUUGCCAUCACCGAAGCCAAGGAUUUAAUUGGAUCUCUCUUAACUCAUGAGCUCAUAAUGCAAGAAGGAAAGGAAGUGGAGGACAACAACAAGAAGAAAGGAAUAACCUUCAAAUCCACCUUGAAACAUCAAGAGGAUAAGGAAGAUGAUUCAGAUGAGGAUGAGGAAAUGGCAUUCAUCACUAAAAAGUUCCAAAGGUUUGUGAGAAAGAAACAAGGCGUACGAAAUUUUUUAGAAAAGACUUCAACAGGGAUUUUCAAAGAGGAGAAAAUCACAAAAAAUCUGAAGUAACCUGCUACGAAUGCAACAAACCUGGACAUUACAAAUCAGAAUGUCCAGAACUUAAGAAAAAAUUCAAGAAGAACAAGAAGAAAGCUAUGAUUGCAGCAUGGGGAGAAGAUAGUGAUGAAAGCGACACAAAAACCGAAAUUUGCAAAAAUGAGGUAUGUUUCAAGAAAUAAUCCAGUAACGAUAGAUGGUAUCUCGACAGUGCAUGUUCGAGGCACAUGACUGGAAAUAAAGCUAUGUUUGCCACAUUUCAACCAAAGGAUGGCGGAUAUGUGACUUUUGACAACAAUAGUAAGAGUAAAAUCAUUGGUGUAGGAAGUAUUGGUAAAAGUCCCUCUCCUAUUAUUGAAAAUGUUUUAUUUGUUGAAGGUUUAAAACAUAACUUGCUUAGCAUUAGUCAAUUAUGUAAUAAAGGUUAUAGAGUUAUUUUUGAGAAAACUCAUUGCACUAUUGAAAACACCCUAUAAAACAAAACGUUAUUUGUAGGUUAUAGACAUGAGAAUGUAUAUGUGUUUGAUUUACAUGAUUUAUCUUCGCAUUUUAACAUUAAAUGUUUAUCUGCUAUAAAUGAUAAUGGUUGGCUUUGGCAUGGAAGAUUAGGAUAUGCUCAUU